rnacentral:rRNA from 1 species
CGAGGAAUAUUGGUCAAUGGGCGCAAGCCUGAACCAGCCAUCCCGCGUGUAGGAAGACGGCCCUAUGGGUUGUAAACUGCUUUUCCAGGGAGAGAAACCUUCGCACGUGUAGCGCUAUUGACGGUACCUUGCGACUAAGCAUCGGCCAACUCCCUGCCAGCCGCCGCCGGCAUACGUAGGAUGCAAGCGUUCGUCGGUCUCAUUGGGUGUAAAGGGUGCGUAGGCGGACUGUUAAGUCAGUCGUGAAAGCCUGCCGCUUAACCGAAGAACUGCCAUUGAUACUGGUAGUCUUGAGUUUGGUAGAGGGAGGCAGAAUGUGUGAUGUAGCGGUGAAAUGCGUAGAUACUAGGCAGAACACCAAUGGCGAAGGCAGCUUACUGGGCCGACACUGACGCUGAGGCGCGAAAGCGUGGGGA